UGAACUCGGUUGACAUAUUGAUAGAUACAACAGAAAAUUGCAAAUCAACAAAAUAACAAUUCAGUAAAAUAAGUAAUAGAAGAAAAGUAUUAUAAAAAUAGAAAACAUUGGCCCCGAGGUCUUAUAUUAUAGGACUUAGUCUAUAGUGUUCCGGUGUUAUAUAGCCAUUCUUCCCCCGCGGAAAUUUGGCAAUACGUAUACAUAUAGUCACUUCCAUCCAAAGCCAAUCUUUCCCCCAUAGUAUAGAUUUCACUAUAUUUAUACAAUUCUGUAAAUUAAACCCAAGAGUUUGAAUUAUAUUUUUACGCUGACAAAUAUUUUUUGUCAAUUUACAUUAACACAAGUCUGUCUAUACAUCUUCAUCUUUAUGUGUCAACUAGUUUGUUUUUAUAUUCA
rnacentral:lncRNA from 1 species